AAGGUGUUCCUCAAAGGCUGGUGUCCUUGUCAACUGAAGUUCUGCAGAAUCCUGAUAUAAACCCAGUGAUGUGAUCAGGUGACACAGAGACACGUCUAAAAAGUUAAAGGUGCGACAACAGUAGGAGUGAGGAACCCCAGCUUUCAAGUACUGAUGAUAUCCUGCAACUUUUAGCUCCGUCUCUGCUUAAAAAAAGCCUAAAUCAAUGGCUGAGUUCUCUCAUCAGCCUUCAUUCAGCUCUGCAGAUGCCUGGAGUUUUCUGUUUUAAAGCUGUAAGUCAAAGUUAAACCAGCAGAUGACAGCAAAGAACAGAGGAAAGGACUUGAACAUGGAGACUGAAACAAAAUCUCUAAAGAGGAAUUUUUUUUCAGAAAGCAAAAAGAGAAAAGGAGGAGCUUGAUCUCAUAUAUUACUGUCUGCUGAACUUUAUUUACAAUCAUUUGAUGUUCUAUUAAAAUGAUUAAAGAAAACCCAUUGAUGCAAGCUGAGAACGCUUCCAUGGAUUGACGGUUCCUCUGUCUCGCCGCACCACGACUGCAGAGAGGAGCCAAGCUGAGCUGAGUGGGAGAUUUCACAUCAGAUUUUCAGAGUGGGGUUACAUCAUGCAUCUCCUGUGGCUCAGCAUAGCGGGGAACUGAGCCUGCAGCACAUCAAAUUAUCUUCCAGAAGGAAAGCGAGGAUUUGCAGAUGUCACUGAGAGCCGUUUGAUGCCAGCUGAAGAGUGGCGAUGAUCGGAAACAAACUGUCCAACUUAUAUCCAAAUAUUUUCAAGAGAUUUUAAACUUCACCCCAUUUCGUAAUAAUUGAGAACCUGGAUAAUUCGACCUGAGUGGAGGAUUAGUUUCACUUCAUUCACCAGGUGGUGAGUAGAUCCACCUGUCAACAGAAAGGACUAAUGAGGCUUUUGACGCAACAUCAACACUGAAGAAAUAAUCUACAGCAGACAUUUGUUUCCUCUCAUCUCAAACGUUUCCUCAUUUUAUCUCGCUGAUUGAUUUCAUUUUAUCUCCUCCAAAAUUUUCAUUUUCUAGCCAUUCAGAGAUCAUUGUACUCUGCAUAACUUGAGAGCCUUUGAGUUUAAGGUCGCAAACUGAUGGUCAGACAUUGCAGCAGGAUUUUCUGGUAGAGAGCAGAAUAGUUUGUUCUGUCAGUCAGAGGAAGCCGUACAGGUGAUGAAGAGGCAAAGUAGCUCCAGACAUUUCUUGCCACAUCAAUACCAACUGCAGUAUGAUGUUGUUUUUCUUAAAUGUUAUUAGUUUUAUACCAAAUUCAAUGAGACUUUGGUCUCAUCCUAAAACUUUUGAGGAAUUUCAGACUGGUUUUGGUGAAUGUAAUGGCGUUAACGUGUUUUGGUCAGCAGUGGUUUUUGACUUCAAUAUAAAGAUUCUCCAUGUGGUUCCCUUGAGUUUUACACAAUGCCUUUGUAAUCCUUAACAGGCUGAUUCAUGCCAACAAACUUGAUUUUUCUUAAAUGAAGCGAUGAUGUGUUUCUCUGAGAUAUUGUGUCCUACUUCAAGUUGUCAGAGACGUUCUUCACCUGGAAAUAAAUCAGGGUGUGGCUAGAUAAACUGAACUAAAAACUCUGGUCAAUUGCAAUUAUUUAGCAACUUUACAAACAGUGGGAUUACUUUUUCGCAAAAGGCCUAGUUAGUUUUUCUCUGAGUAAAAUCAUAUAAAAACUGCUUUUGAAUGUACUCAAGGUUAUCGUUGUCUCUUUCCAGCUGCUGAAGUGAAAAUGGUGACGGAGUUUGAACAUGAUAUAACGAAGGAGUUUAGCGUGUCCUUUUACACAUGCAUGUGUAAAUCUUUCAUGGAACUCAAAACAUUAAAGUUUUACACCAAAAGAUGAAUACAAAGAAAUCGGCAACACAAAUAAUGAAAUGGUUUGAACACAAAGAACAGGGAAUGUCUUAUUUUCUGCCUGCAUUUUCAGUAACUUUACACUGGACAGUAACUGACCCCUUUACCUACAGCAACACGGUUACACCGUUAGGCCUUUAGGUGGCACUAAAAUUCAACAUUACAGCUGGUUGGACUUCAGACGCUCAGCAGGAGGCCAGAAUGACGAACUUUAAGGUGUUUCCUGUCUGCAGGGCUUAAUGUAUGACCAGCAGGAACAUGUCUUUAACGAUGGCAGAAUGUGAGCUGUGCG